UCAUAAGGGCAAUGCCAUACAAAUGGUCACGUUUCUCAUCAAAAUAAUACAAUUUAAUUAAUUAUAAUGAAAAAUCAUACCAUCUAAAUAUAACGAAACAAAUCACAUAAUACCAGCUCAUCAUUUCCCUCUCCAGUAAUAUUCAUAUCUAAAUUACCUAUCUAAAUUACCUAUAUCUUUGAUUUGUACGAUUUUUAUAACGUAUAAUUAGCCUUUAAUUCAAAUAUAAUUUGGCCACCUUAAAGUCUUACAAAACCAAAGGUAAACCCUAAUCAUUUGUUGAGGCCUACUUUGCAAUCUAAGCACAUUCCAAUUUAAUUUCUCUGAUGUGAUAGAUAAAAUAAAACGUGUUUUUUAAUUAAUUUUUUUUUUAUAAUUUCAUACUGCUAUUCGUAUAUAUGUAUAAUCGUACCUAUAUUAAAGCAAUUUCUUCGAAAGUAUAAACAACAACAUAAACAAAAUAAUAAAUAUAAAAAAAUAAACAAUAAACAAAAUGAGCAACAAAAUAAAAUAAAUUAAAAUAAAAUAUACUUAUGACUUACAACAACAAAUAUAAAAACAAAACAUUCAGCAUCACCACAAUAUACGCGGUCUAUCUAUUGCCUUCACAGUUUAACCCAAAGUCAUGAUUCAAACCUCUAUCACAACCAAGUCAGCGUUGGAACCGCAAAGUCGUGUGAAAGUAGAUAUCUCGCAGAGCUUAUAAUAAUAAUCGCUUAAAAAUUGCGCUUCAACAAAAAUAAUCCGCAUCAACGAACGAUUGAAAAUAAGUUGAACUUUUAAUCCAAGUUUAUUUAAAAUAGAAAAAAAAUAUCAAUUUAUUCAAAAACUAUUAUAAAACCUCUCGUGUAAGGAAAACUUAAUUUUCGUAAACAAAUUAAAAAAAAAUAUUGAUUAAGUUGUUUUGAAAAAUUAUUCAAACAAAUAAGAAAAAACGGUUUAUAUAGUGUUUGUGUUUUGUGACGCAGAUCAACCACAAAAAGAAAACAACAAAAAAUGUCAUCAGUAAGCAAUUAUUGGCAAGAAGGACCACUUCCGUCAGAUGGUUCAAAUUUUGCCGUCGCCAUGUUUCUCGUUAUGGUCUGUACAAUGGAAGUGAUUUUCUUAAAACUUACCGUUGCACCAAUGUUUAGUCGUGAUGUGGAAUAUGAUAAUUCAAGUGAAUACGAAGAAGAUAUUUACUAUGAGGAAUUAUAUAAUAAUAGCAGUUUAUGGCCAAGUAGACGAAGAAAUCAGGAAACAGGAUAUGAUGAUCUGGAUUAUAACGCUUAAAUUAAUUCCAAUGCAUUUCUUUGAUAUGUGAUAAAAGUUCACCCGAAAAGUGUGAUAGCGACAGUGAUUCGAAUAACUCGUAUAGAACAUGAGACUGUUUAUAUUUGUUAAUGUUUAUUUGGAAAAGUACAUUUAAAACAACUUAUUUUAAACUACAUAGUAUUUAAUCUAAGGAACAACAAAACCCCAUUAACAUUUUCAACAAUUAAGUACCUUGUAAAAAAACUGAAAAGAUCCUAAUAAUUCCUGACAAAGAACUUGAUGGAAAAGUGAUUAAUGUUAAAAUGUGGCAGUAAAGAGAGAAACAAUUCUUGGAUAUUGUAACAUUUUUUGGAAAUGUUUACUAAAUUACUUUAUCAACAUAAAUGAACAACGAAAUCAAUUCAAGGUUAUUCGAAUUCUUUUAGUAUUUGCACUUUAUCCAUCGACUUAAUUUUGAAUAGCGUCAUAAUGUUGAAUAUAUUUGAAAUCAACGAAUCUGAACUUAAGAAUUCAUCACAGACACCGGUUAGUGAAAUUUAAAUUUAGCAUUUUUGUUUUGACGCCACCGUGUCGGAAAAACGAGUUUCAAAUUUCUUCGAAGCAGCAUUUUUCGGAAUUUAUAGUAUUUCAAAAGUAACGAAACAAGCACCACUUGCAAGGAAAGGAAAACCAAAAUCAGUAGAAAUAAUUUGAUUUGAAAAUUGAAAAGCUUAAGCACCUGAUGAGUGGAGUACAAAAAUGUUUAAGGCAUCUUCUUGAGAAUCGAUUCAAUCUUUAAUGCGAAGCAUGGUCCACUUUGUCUGGAUUUCUGGAACAAUUUCAUACGAAAGCCGAGUCAAAAACACUCUUUUUUAAAGCCAGACCAUGUGAACAAAUUUAAUGUUCUACGUUUAAAUUGAGAUUUGCUGAAAAACGCCAGUAUUGCAUUAUUACCACAGGCAAAUUCAUAGAAUGUUCUUGGUGCUGAAUGAAGACAUCAUCGGCUGAAUUUAUCAAAAAUAAUUAAAAGAACUACAGAAACUAUCUUUGAAGGGAAACAAUUUUAAUGUUUUUAAAACUGCUGAAUUUGAAGAAAAACAAAAUGAAAAACUGUACUUUUGUUGCAAAAACAAUUCUAUUCGGUCUUAAAUUAUAUUCGCAUAGAUUAGCAUUAAGAUAAAAGAAGGAUUAAAGACAUCGUUGUCAAAAAAUCAUUGUAUAAAAAUGUAUCGAAUUUUAAACUAGAAGAAUCUACUUCCAUAUGUCAAAAACUGUAAAACAUUAAUUUCUGUGAAAACCUCUUCCAAACCAAGUAAACAAGAAAUUCUUAGACAUCAAUUAAAUGAAUUAAUACAGGGGUUUCCAAUAAGAAGUUUCAUUAUAAUAUUUGAAAAGUUGAAUAUUUUCUUUGAGAGAAGUGAAUUAAUGAUUCUUUCAUUAAAAACAAGAAGAACAAAAAAAACAGUUGCAGCAAUAUACCAAUUUCAUUUUUCGCCAUGAUCUUGAAUUGAAUGUGGUGGAGCCUUGAAAUUAAUCUUAACUUUCAAGUGGCAUCAAAGAAAAAAGUCCCAUAUAACAGUUGCACCAAUCUCCUUUUCGAAAAUUUCACCAAUAUUGCAGUGAAUUUGAAAAAUUUUAACUUGUAGUUGAAGUGUGUAUCGUGUUAAUUUUAGUUAUGUUUAUUUCCUAUUGACUGUACUUUUAACUUCUCAAAUGUCAAACAAUGACAGCUUCAAAGUGGCAGUUGCAUUAAAGGUGGAAUUCACAAAAUGAAACCUCUUAUUGGAAAUUCUUUUUUUUUCAAUAUUAAAGAAUAAGUUUACUCUUUCCCAUUUUAAGAAAGUAAAGAUAUUAAAAUAAUCAACAAAAUUAAAGCAUAAGACAAAAAUUUAAACACUGUUCACGCUGAAUUGCUAAAUUUAAUAAAUGUUAUUAAAAAAAAGAAGCUUGUUUGUGAAAAAAGACUGCGAGCAUGAUCUCAAAAUUAAUCUUUUAUAUAUGCCAACAAUUUUACUAAACAUUAUCAACUUAUUCCUAUAAAUAUCCUUAAGAUCAUUGUUUUGUACUUUUAGAAUAUAAGAAUUCAUUUAAUCACAAUUAUUGUCUCAUCAAUUAUUUUGAAAAAAAAAGAAAAAAUACCUGUUUUAAAAAAAAUCCUAAUAUUUUUAAGAACAUUUUAUUUUGUAUUAUUAUUGCGAUGCAUGCCUAAUUUAUUGCAUUCUGAUUUACAUUUUAAAAUAUUUCGAUGCCACAUGAACAUUAAAAUGGAAUAUAACCCAACAAAAUUGGCAUCUCAAAAAUGUUGCCUUAAAACGACGACAGCUUAACAGUGAGGAUAAUAUAGUUUUGUAAUUUAUAAGCAAUUCUCUUAAUGUGAUUUAAACCUAUUAAUUUUAAGUGUAUUUUUUUAUUUUUUCAAUGUUUAUCUGAUAAAAAAUAAAUUUAAAAUAAAAAUUAAAAAUAAAACUCUAA